UCGUUCAAAUUUCGGGAUCGUGUGAUCUUGACCCGACGCGAGAGAAGUACCCGCACCAAACACCGGUCCAACGACCCCCCGCUUCCCAAACACACCCUCUACGCUCAUAAACCCUAACUUAGGCCGUAUAAAUACUUAGCAACCAAUAAUCUUUCCUAGGGUUUCUUUCUUUUCUUCCGUUUUUGUGCUACACCAUUUCUGCGUUCUCUUGUUGAAACUCGAGAGAGAUCGCAAAGCUAGGGUUUUUUCUUCUGUUCUUUUGUUAUGAUUUCUCCGUUUUGUUGUUGGCACUCGAGAGAGAUCGCAAUGAUGACUCCAUAAAAUUCAAGCUCAACAGACCGUAUUGCAGGUUUCUCUGUUAGGGAAAUUUGCGUGUCGACAACCCCGCUGAACUGAGCGACUCUCUCUCUCUCUCUCUAUAUAUAUAUAUAUAUAUAUAUAUAUAUAUAGUUUAGAUGUGGUUUACCUUGUAUAUUACCGAUGUUCAUAUCGAUUUGUACGUAUAGCUUUCGUUUAUGCUUUGGGGAAUAGAGGUUGCGAUGAGGAUAAAAAGCUCCCUCUUAUUGACUGUUAACUGUGAAGUUUGAGGAAUAAUGCUGGCAGAAUCGAACCUAUGACUUUUAGGAUGUGUUCUACUUAUUUUUUGAAUUAAAGGUAAUGUAUUGUGAGAAAUGACCUGUCCCGUGGGAGAAAUAAGUACUGUACUUAAAAUAUAAAAACCGUAGCGAAACAAAGCCUGCCUUACUUGCUUUUUUUUUUUUUUUUCCUAAGUUUUUGGUAAUUUUUGGCUGAAUAUUGCUUACCAGAAUAAUCAAAAAAAUUUCCUUGUUUUAUGAAGUCACUCUGCUGAUUGUAAUACAGAUGAUGAUGAUGCAAUAUUAGGUUAAAUCCAACACUUGAUCUGAGGCAUUGUAUGUCGAUUGAUGCUAAACCUUUGCUUCUGAAUCUUAUUACAAUACAAAUGAUUUUGGUUUUAGAAGCCUGCCUAUUAUGUAUUUCUUAGUUUAAGAUUUGAUUUGAUUAAUUUAGUUACUAUGCUGCCUAUUAUGUAUUUUUAGUUUGAGAGAUUUGGUUGUAUUAGUUUUGUAGGCACUUCAACUGUGAUUAUCUCAAAGGUUAGCAUGUUUGUCUUCUGUCUCCAGUCUGGCAUUCGUUCUCAGCAUAAAGGGUAACAGGUUAAUGAAAUGGCCUAAAUUCUUGCAAGGGAAACGGUGAACGAAAGUAAUAUUAUUUGGUAUACUUAGUCUGGGUUGGUCGGUGGUUCCAUAUGUUGGACUCGGCGAGCUGUAUUGGGGUGCAUCAUGUUUGAAGGUCAACUGCUGUCGCUGGAAUUUUUCAAGUGGUCUACUGUUUCCUAGAUUCGUGAUAUAAAGAUGAGUACUUAUUAGGCCUUAGAGCAUUUGCAAUGAUAAUAAUCAAAAUCAAUAAUCAAAAUGUGUUACGUCA